AGCCUUUAGCACAUCAAGUAUUAAAGGUAACGCCUGCCCAGUGAAAUUUAAACGGCCGCGGUAUCCUAACCGUGCAAAGGUAGCGCAAUCACUUGUCUUAUAAAUAAAGACCCGUAUGAAUGGCUAAAUGAAUAUUAAACUGUCUCUUUUAACCAGUCAGUGAAACUGAUCUUCCAGUACAAAAGCUGAAAUAAUAAUAUAAGACGAGAAGACCCUGUGGAGCUUUAGACUACUAUCAUGACAACUUAACAAGCAAGUAUCUAUGAAAAAAAGUCUUAAGUUGGGGCGACUUUGGAGCAAAACACAACCUCCAAAAUUGGACAUUGUCCAGACACGGCCAACAAGCCUAAACAAACACGACCCAGUACCACUGAUAACUGAACCAAGUUACCCCAGGGAUAACAGCGCCAUCUUCUUCAAGAGUUCAUAUCGACAAGAAGGUUUACGACCUCGAUGUUGGAUCAGGACACCCAAAUGGUGCAGCCGCUAUUAAAGG
rnacentral:rRNA from 1 species